rnacentral:rRNA from 1 species
AUUGAACGCUGGCGGCAGGCCUAACACAUGCAAGUCGAAUGGUAACAGGAAACAGCUUGCUGUUUCGCUGACGAGUGGCGGACGGGUGAGUAAUGUCUGGGAAACUGCCUGAUGGAGGGGGAUAACUACUGGAAACGGAAGCUAAUACCGCAUAACGUCGCAAGACCAAAGAGGGGGACCUUCGGGCCUCUUGCCAUCAGAUGUGCCCAGAUGGGAUUAGCUAGUAGGUGGGGUAACGGCUCACCUAGGCGACGAUCCCUAGCUGGUCUGAGAGGAUGACCAGCCACACUGGAACUGAGACACGGUCCAGACUCCUACGGGAGGCAGCAGUGGGGAAUAUUGCACAAUGGGCGCAAGCCUGAUGCAGCCAUGCCGCGUGUAUGAAGAAGGCCUUCGGGUUGUAAAGUACUUUCAGCGGGGAGGAAGGGAGUAAAGUUAAUACCUUUGCUCAUUGACGUUACCCGCAGAAGAAGCACCGGCUAACUCCGUG